UACGUAGGUGGCGAGCGUUGUCCGGAUUUACUGGGCGUAAAGGAUGCGUAGGCGGAUAUUUAAGUGAGAUGUGAAAUACCCGAGCUUAACUUGGGUGCUGCAUUUCAAACUGGAUAUCUAGAGUGCGGGAGAGGAGAAUGGAAUUCCUAGUGUAGCGGUGAAAUGCGUAGAGAUUAGGAAGAACACCAGUGGCGAAGGCGAUUCUCUGGACCGUAACUGACGCUGAGGCAUGAAAGCGUGGGUAGCAAACAGG
rnacentral:rRNA from 1 species